AGGGCAAGGAGGCAGCUUUUCCCUCCAGCCCCAGAUAUCACAGCUGCUGAGGGCCAGCUUUAAUGGCAGUAACUAAAGGUGUAGCCUCCACAGCUUCCACAGGGACAAGCACACACAAAGAAAAAAAAAUCCUAUGUGAGCACAAGCAACAGCCUGCACAGGCCUUGAAAACCUUCCCUGAGAUGGGCUGUCCUGCUCCUCUUGCUGCAUGCAGGCAGCAGGAGAUGGCACUGCAUGGCAGAGGCUGCAAGACCUGGUGCCACCAGCGAGAGGAGCGACUGGAGACACACAGCUGGGGCACCUUACAG